rnacentral:tRNA from 1 species
UCCUGGGUAGCUCGGUUGGUAUAGUGCUCCACUGGAAAUGGAGAGGUGCCUGGUUGGAUACCAGGAUCAGGCG